CGGCUGAGUGACUUCUUUCUUUCUUUUCCUUUUUCGACUUCGUUGGAUGAUGUUCUUCUGGUGUGGAGUUUUGGGUCACACCUCAGCUUGGCGUGUCUCCAACAUGGCUGUUUGUACACAGCAAAGGUAUUGGACGCCUCCUGGAUGAUGGAAGGACAAACUCUGGAAGUGAGCAGGUGAUUGGGUGACCCUCCAGCACAUCAAUGAUGCUUCACAAGAUGAGGACUCGUUAAGAAAUGAGCCUGCUACUCUUCCAUCCUGUUUCUGGGAACACAUCAGACCUGGUCUUGGGGUUUUCAGGUCCAGUGACUGAUGGACCAGUCUUCCUCCUGGGAACGUCAGGAGGAUGAAGUACUGCUGCCUUUGUCCCAGAGCUGAUGGCUGCUGAUCAUAAAGGAAGCCGAAACUGUAACAUUAUGUCAAGUUCAACCAGUUACUGUUGUGUAUUAUACUGACAUGGCACUGCAGUUAUUGGCUUUUCUGUAUUACAGCAUUAAUAAGCACUGUUUAGGAUUUGGAAUGACAGUCACUGUCUUGCAGAAACCAUGAAUCCAAAUUAUACUUCUGCAGGUUCACCUACGGAAACCUUGUUACGACUUUUACUUCCUCCAAGCAAGUUUGAUCAUCUUCUUGGUGCUUAGUUCUAAAUACUGAUCCCUGUAUGUUAAGUGGAUAUGUUGGGUAACAAAUCUGCAUAGUCUCUGAACUGUUCUGUGUCCAUGUCUACUCUGACCAGAGUUCUGUGGUGGAUAAAGUAGAUCAACAAAUGAACAAUUCACACCAUUUAGAUAAAAAUUCUAUGGGGUGUAUAGAUACAUACUAUAUUUGGGUGAACACAAAACAGUUUUCUAUGGCAACAUUUUGAACAAAAUUGUUCACUGGAUCCUUGAUCUCUGGGCAUAAAUAGAAAUAAAAUGCAGUUUGUCAAAAGCAUUUCCUUUCAUCCAUUAAUGACAAACAUCUCUCCAGCUGACUGCUGGAGUCUGCAGCCAU